GACGAACGCUGGCGGCGUGCUUAACACAUGCAAGUCGAACGGAAAGGCCCCCUUGUGGGUUACUCGGUGGGCGAACGGGGGAGUAACAGUGGAUUAACCUACCCGUAACUUGGGGUUAACUUCAGGAAACUGGUGCUAAUACCGGUAGGGAGCUACUUUUGCGUGGGGGGGGUUGGGAAUUUUCGGCGGUUGGGGAUGGACUCGCGCCUUAGCAGCUUGUUGGUGGGAUAGUGGCUCACGACGGCGUUGACGGGUAGCCGGCCGGAGGGGGUGGCCGGCCAAAUUGGGCCGGGAAUACGGCCCAGCCUCCUCCGGGAGGCAGCAGUGGGGAAUAUUGCACAAUGGGGGGAAGCCUGAUGCACCACCGCCGCGUGCGGGAUGCCGGCCUUCGGGUUGUAACCCGUUUCGCCCUGUGCCGAAGCGUGAGUGACGGUAAUGGGUAAAGAAGCACCGGCUAACUACGUG
rnacentral:rRNA from 1 species